rnacentral:rRNA from 1 species
GAUGAACGCUGGCGGCGUGCUUAACACAUGCAAGUCGAACGAUGAAGCCCAGCUUGCUGGGUGGAUUAGUGGCGAACGGGUGAGUAACACGUGAGUAACCUGCCCUUGACUCUGGGAUAAGCCUGGGAAACUGGGUCUAAUACUGGAUAUGACUUCUCAUCGCAUGGUGGGGGGUGGAAAGAUUUAUUGGUCUUGGAUGGACUCGCGGCCUAUCAGCUUGUUGGUGAGGUAAUGGCUCACCAAGGCGACGACGGGUAGCCGGCCUGAGAGGGUAACCGGCCACACUAGGACUGAGACACGGCCCAGACUCCUACGGGAGGCAGCAGUGGGGAAUAUUGCACAAUGGGCGCAAGCCUGAUGCAGCGACGCCGCGUGAGGGAUGACGGCCUUCGGGUUGUAAACCUCUUUCAGUAGGGAAGAAGCGAGAGUGACGGUACCUGCAGAAGAAGCGCCGGCUAACUACGUG